GCCUGUGCCAGGGGUCUCUGGAAACGCCCCACAGGCAGUCACAUGACCUCGCCCAGAGCCCAUGCCAUAGGGAAGAAACGGAAGCUAUGCUGGGCAGAGUGACGAGGCUGUCAGGUGGCCUCAAGGUCCUGCAUCACCGUCAGUGUGUCCUUGCCCACCUCUCCCACCGCCACUCUGCUCCAUGAUUCCGUCUCUCUGGAGGACCUUGGCUGACAUACCGCCCUCCCUAAGGAGCAGAACGUCCCUCGACGUGCGCUGGGGAGUCGGGGCACGGAAGAGAGGUUAGCAAUUCAUUCUCCGGACUGGAACCCAGGAAGACGGCACAGGGCACCGGCUCCUACGCCUCAGCCUGAAUCCCAGCUCCGCCUGUCAUGAGCGUGGCUGGGAAGUCCUCGAGCUGCCGGCCAGCCCCGGGACCUCCUCAGUGGCCACAGCAUCGCGUGGUAAAAACCCAGUGGGCCAACGUGCCACGUGCUUGGAACAGCGCGAUGCAGAGUCAGGCGGGAGAAGUACUUACUAAAUAAACCAAACCCGAUACAUUCUCCAAAGCCCUACUUACUCCCAGCACGGGGCCUCAGGAAGGGGUUCCCGUUCUCCUCCUGGUGGCUGGGCCUCCGCUGACGCCCCCUCCCUUCACACACAGCCACCUUGCUUUUUCUGAAGUUCUUAGCCAUCAUUGUGUCGGCCACUCUGUAACCCUCGUUUCCACGAAAAGCGUAUUCUAAUCCAUAGUCAUCUAUGUGGCUCAAUCUCAGGUUGGAGAAGUGAGGUGAUGUGGAAAAAAUAACUGAGUCGUGCCCACCCUGCACCUGCCUGGGGCCUGUCCCCAGGAGGUGUUUAAUGACUACCUCCGAACAACAGAAUAAACGCUCAAACCAGCCAGCA